UACGUAGGGUGCAAGCGUUAAUCGGAAUUACUGGGCGUAAAGCGUGCGCAGGCGGUUUUGUAAGUCUGUUGUGAAAUCCCCGGGCUCAACCUGGGAAUUGCGAUGGAGACUGCAAGGCUAGAAUCUGGCAGAGGGGGGUAGAAUUCCACGUGUGAGCAGUGAAAUGCGUAGAGAUGUGGAGGAACACCGAUGGCGAAGGCAGCCCCCUGGGUCAAGAUUGACGCUCAUGCACGAAAGCGUGGGGAGCAAACAGG
rnacentral:rRNA from 1 species